rnacentral:rRNA from 1 species
UACGUAGGGCGCAAGCGUUAUCCGGAAUUAUUGGGCGUAAAGAGCUUGUAGGCGGUUUGUCGCGUCUGCUGUGAAAAUCCGGGGCUCAACCCCGGACUUGCAGUGGGUACGGGCAGACUAGAGUGUGGUAGGGGAGACUGGAAUUCCUGGUGUAGCGGUGAAAUGCGCAGAUAUCAGGAGGAACACCGAUGGCGAAGGCAGGUCUCUGGGCCACUACUGACGCUGAGGAGCGAAAGUGUGGGGAGCGAACAGG